rnacentral:rRNA from 1 species
GACGAACGCUGGCGGCGUGCUUAACACAUGCAAGUCGAACGAUGAAGCUGGAGCUUGCUCCGGUGGAUUAGUGGCGAACGGGUGAGUAACACGUGAGCAAUCUGCCCUUGACCCUGGGAUAACUGCGGGAAACUGUAGCUAAUACCGGAUACUUUCACUGGAAGGCAUCUUCUGGUGAAGAAGGAAUUUCGGUCAAGGAUGAGCUCGCGGCCUAUCAGCUUGUUGGUGAGGUAACGGCUCACCAAGGCGACGACGGGUAGGCGGCCUGAGAGGGUGACCGGCCACACUGGGACUGAGACACGGCCCUGACUCCUACGGGAGGCAGCAGUGGGGAAUAUUGCACAAUGGGCGCAAGCCUGAUGCAGCAACGCCGCGUGAGGGAUGAAGGCCUUCGGGUUGUAAACCUCUUUUAGCAGGGAAGAAGCGAAAGUGACGGUACCUGCAGAAAAAGCACCGGCUAACUACGUGCCAGCCGCCGCCGUAA